rnacentral:lncRNA from 1 species
GCCUAGCUCUCACCAGUUUGAACGUCAAUUUCCUACCUUGGAUGAGGAGAUUCAGGCAUCCCAGCCACUUUCUUUUCAAGCAAAUGAAGAAUCUCAGUGUUGACUCAAACCUAUAAGCGAGGUUCCUGGUGGACCCAUCCCAGCCGGCGUUACAUUCAUGGUGUGACUGAGAGCCACAUGUGUGCACACACACGAACACAUAUGUGCUACGUACGCAUGAAUAUAGCACAGAACACCUCUCAUAUAUUCUGGAAAUCAAUUUGUGGUUCAGAGAGAAAUGACAGGUAGGCUAACACUGACAACCGGCCUGGCUGUAAAGAAACCCUCCCCUUCCUGUGUCCAGCAGCGCUCCAUGAGGGCCGCCUGGGGAGGGAUGGAAGGCCAUCAUUGACAACGAGCCUGGGAGACCAAGGGACACAAGAUCUCAGCAUGUGCACAGCGGCCUGGGCAGAAGGAACACACUCAAAGCUGCCAGAAGGUGCCAGAACAGCAUCUAUGUUCAGGGGCUCCAGAUAUUAUGGAAGUGGCCUGGAAACUACUUGUUUAUUGAUCUUGAGGAUCCAAGGAUUCAAAGAAACAGAGGAAAUUCAAUCAAGAAUCCACCUUGGAGCAUCUAGAGGUCAUUUGGGUGACUAG